UUACUAUGUCCAGUUUUGGCCCUUAUGGCCCUUUGUUUGUUUUACAACUGUAGAAAAUAAAGUCCACAGAAGCUCGUGUUUUCAACUGUUCAUUAACUACUGGGUGAAUCUCGCUCAAACUUUCACAGUUGAAUGACGUUAAAGUGUAGAUGAUCGUAAGAAAGGCACUUCGUCUCCGACUAUUUUUGACAGAAUUAUAGCACAGAAUGAGUUUGUUUUCCACUAAAACUUCACGGAAGCGGACAACGACAACGAGCGAGGCAUGGUAUUGUAAUGCGCAUGGGGGAGGGGGGUUUAGAGGGUUACGGUAAGGGUUAGGGUAAGGGGUCGUGUUUGGGUUAGGGUUAGCCUAAACCCUAACCUUAACCCUUACCCGACCCCUAACCAUAACCCAUGGUUAUCUCCCCUAUACCAUGCCUCGCUCGUUGUCGUUGUCCCCUUCCCAAAACUACAUGGUCUCAAAUUUAUAUGUUUUGUCUACUCCUCUUUAGCUUAGGGGUGAAUCUCGAUUAUACUUUCACAGUUUCAUGACCUCUAUGUGUAUAUGAUAGUUAAGAAAGGAAUUUGGAAAGGAUUGGGCUGAAUUAUGGUCCUUUUUCAAACAUUAUUUCGGGGGCACCAGUGUCUGUGACAUAUUUCUAAUUUUAUUUAGUAUUGCCGAGUUUGCUAUUUGUGUAAUAUUUAAUGAUUAUUGUAAGGACUUAAUGCAUACAUAAAUAUUUAUGUAAUUAGAAUUGAUUUUUGUGGAACUAUAUGUGUCAAUUAACUUUCAUUGUGUUACCAAGUCCCUUUACGUUUUAUUAUAUCAAAUUGGGUUUAAUAUCAGUAUAAGUAUUACGUGUUCGCUGUUAAUUUAAAGAAUUUAGCAUGCAUUAUUAUGCCCCCCUUCGAAGAAGAUGGGGUAAAUUGCUUUGCACGUUUCGGUCUGUCUGUCGGUCCGUCCACCUGGUGGUUUCCGGAUGAUAACUCAAGAACGCUUGGGCCUAGGAUCAUGAAACUUCAUAGGUACAUUGAUCAUGACUCGCAGAUGACCCCUAUUGAUUUUGAGGUCACUAGGUCAAAGGUCAAGGUCACGGUGACCCGAAAUAGUAAAAUGGUUUCCGGAUGAUAACUCAAGAACGCAUACACCUAGGAUCAUGAAACUUCAUCGUUAGAUAGAUCAUGACUCGCAGAUGACCUCAAUUGAUUUUGAGGUCACUAGGUAAAAGGUCAAGGUCACGGUGACCCAAAAUAGUAAAAUGAUUUUCGGAUGAUAACUCAAGAACGCAUACGCCUAGGAUCAUGAAACUUCAUAGGUAGAUUAAUCAUGACUCGCAGAUAACCCCUAUUGAUUUUGAGGUCACUAGGUCAAAGGUCAAGGUCACAGUGACCCGAAAUAGUAAAAUGAUUUUCGGAUGAUAACUCAAAAACGCAUACUCCUAGGAUCAUGAAACUUCAUAGGUAGAUUGAUCAUGUCUCACAGAUGACCCCGAUUGAUUUUGAGGUCACUAGGUCAAAGGUCAAGGUCACGGUGACCCGAAAUAGUAAAAUGGUUUUCGGAUGAUAACUCAAGAACGCAUACUCCUAGGAUCAUGAAACUUCAUAGGUAGAUUGAUCAUAACUCACAGAUGACCCCUAUUGAUUUUGAGGUCACUAGGUCAAAGGUCAAGGUCACGGUGACCCGAAAUAGUAAAAUGGUUUUAGGAUGAUAAGUCAAGAACGCAUAUGGCUAGGAUCAUGAAACUUAAUGGGAAGAUUGAUCAUGACUCGCAGAUGACCCCUAUUGAUUUUGAGGUCACUUGGUCAAAGGUCAAGGUCACGGUGACCCAAAAUAGUUAAAUGGUUUCCGGAUGAUAACUCAAGAACGCUUACGCCUAGGAUCAUGAAACUUCAUAGGUACAUUGAUCAUGACUCGCAGAAGACCCAUAUUGAUUUUCAGGUCACUGAGUCAAAGGUCAAGGUCACGGUUACCCAAAACAGUUAAAUUGUUUCCGGAUAAUAACUCAAGAACGCUUUUGCCUGGGAUCAUGACACUUCAUAGGUACAUUGAUCAUGACACGCAGAUGACACCUAUUGAUUUUCAGGUCACUAGGUCAAAGGUCAAGGUCACAGUGACAAAAAACGUAUUCACACAAUGGCUGCCACUACAACGGACAGCCCAUAUGGGGGGCAUGCAUGUUUUACACACAGCUCUUGUAUUAAAUUAGUUUUUCCCGUAUCAGUGGACUUUUCAGAUUUAUUGCUUUUUUUUACAAAAUGGCCAUGAAAAGGCAUGAUGUGUCAAUAUUUGUUGAUAAAAACAUUCCAAUAUGGUACAUUUUAUUGAAAAAAAUGCUCAAAUUUGCCAUUUUAUCGAAUAAAAAAUCCCAAUUACCAGGGUAGACUCAAAUUGGCUUGGAAAACUGAGACUGCAUGCAUACACAGUGAAUGACGGCUGAACUGUCUGAAACUAAUGUUGAAAAAAUCAUUGAUAUAUAUUUAAGAAAAAGGACAACGACAUUCAGCUGUGAAUAUUACAUUCAUACAUACAUGUGUAUUCAUAUAAUAAAUUUCAUUACAUAUAAAA